AUUUACCCGGGGUGAAUUUAACGCCGAACCAAACAGACAUGGGCAUGCACCCGUGGUGAACAACGUGUAGGGUUGAAACGUGAUCAUUUUUCUUCCGAAGAACGAAGAAGAUCUGGAAAUUCAACGUCAAAUCGGAGAAAUAUGGACUCACUAACCGACCGUGGACUGACCAUAGAUUAUUAUUGCUUACCCUUACGGCUGUUGAACUUUCCGUAUAAUCCACAGGCUGACAACGGAAGUUAUAGUGUCCCCACCAUCCGCCCAUCAGGCACUAGGGGGUAGAAGAAUAAGACAACGUCGAAUACGCUACACGGGAUUGAUGGAAGGCCUCAUAGCCGUUCGAAAAUUACGCAGCUUGUUCGGUCGUCGAAGUCUCCCGCGUCACUAGACGUUAUACAUGGCCCAGCAGAAGAUUUAAGGUGUAUUUUAUCCAUAAGAAAAUAUAUACGCCGAUUACAUGUUUUGGAUCCAGCUACUUUUUUUUUUUGUUUCGUUCUUUUCUUUUCAAGUUAGAGUUUGUUUCGAUGAUAUUAUUUUAAUUGUAAUUUAAAAACGAACGAAUCUUAUUUUAUGUACCUAUUCAUUAUCAAAUCGCAUCGAUGCUUUUGUCUUUCUAGAUUGAAUAGUAUAACAAAAAGCAAGUAUAUAUUAUACAUUGAAACUUAUUGUGAAUACG